rnacentral:rRNA from 1 species
UACGGAGGGAGCUAGCGUUGUUCGGAAUCACUGGGCGUAAAGCGCACGUAGGCGGAUUGGCCAGUCGGGGGUGAAAUCCUGAGGCUCAACCCCAGAACUGCCUUCGAUACAGCAAGGCUCGAGUCCCGGAGAGGGGGGUGGAAUUCCUAGUGUAGAGGUGAAAUUCGUAGAUAUUAGGAGGAACACCAGUGGCGAAGGCGGCUCCCUGGCCGGUGACUGACGCUGAGGUGCGAAAGCGUGGGGAGCAAACAGG